rnacentral:rRNA from 1 species
UACGUAGGGCGCAAGCGUUAUCCGGAAUUAUUGGGCGUAAAGAGCUCGUAGGUGGUCUGUUGCGUCCGCUGUGAAAACUCGGGGCUUAACCCCGAGCCUGCAGUGGAUACGGGCAGACUAGAGGUAGGUAGGGGAGAAUGGAAUUCCUGGUGUAGCGGUGAAAUGCGCAGAUAUCAGGAGGAACACCGGUGGCGAAGGCGGGUCUCUGGGCCGAUACUGACACUGAGGAGCGAAAGCGUGGGGAGCGAACAGG